rnacentral:lncRNA from 1 species
CUGCAGAGCCGGUCCGGGCAGGAGAGAAAGAAGCAACCAGCCAGUCGGUGGAGCAGCUGGAGGCUCGGGUGCAGACCAAGGACCAGGAGAUCCAGACUUUGAAGAAUCAGAGCACUGGCCCACGAGAGGCUCCUGACACCGCCGAGCGGGAGGAGACACAGCAGCAGGUUCAGGACCUGGAGACCCGGAAUGCAGAACUGGAGCAGCAGCUGCGGGCGAUGGAAAGCAACCUGGAGGAGGCGCGGGCCGAGCGGGAGCGCGCACGAGCAGAGGCUGGCCCACACAUACGAUUUCACACUCCCUGCGCACCACGUUGACCUGUGUGAGGAUCUGCAGGACCUGGGCCUCCUCCACUGCCAAUUCAGCCAGCUGCUGUUCUGCAGGGACAGGAACCUGGGUUAGGCUGGGGUGCAGCUGGCCCUCCUUGCCCCCCUAGCUCUGGAGGUCUGGAUCCAGCCACAUGUGGACUAUGCUGCCAAGCCUGGUAGCACAUGCUCGUCAUCACAGCCCUGGGAGGUGGAGGCAGGAGAUCCCUCCUUUCAGCUGUGUUCCAGGCCAGCUCUGUAGAGCAAUUACCCUCUGUCUCGAAUGAAUGAAUGAAUAAACAAAUGAAC